UACGUAGGGGGCAAGCGUGGUCCGGAAUCAUUGGGCGUAAAGCGCGUGUAGGCGGCUCGAUAAGUCUGCUGUGAAAGUCCAGGGCUCAACCCUGGGAUGCCGGUGGAUACUGUCGAGCUCGAGUCCGGAAGAGGCGAGUGGAAUUCCUGGUGUAGCGGUGAAAUGCGCAGAUAUCAGGAGGAACACCAAUGGCGAAGGCAGCUCGCUGGGACGUGACUGACGCUGAGACGCGAAAGCGUGGGGAGCAAACAGG
rnacentral:rRNA from 1 species